rnacentral:snRNA from 1 species
AUUCAAUCGACAAAAAAACCAUUCACAGAUCACGAAACAGAGAUUAGCAUGGCCCCUGCGCAAGGAUGACACGCAAAAUCGUGAAGCCUUCCAUACUUUC